AGCGAACGCUGGCGGCAGGCUUAACACAUGCAAGUCGAGCGCCCCGCAAGGGGAGCGGCAGACGGGUGAGUAACACGUGGGAACGUGCCUUUUGGUUCGGAACAACCCAGGGAAACUUCGGCUAAUACUGGAUAAGCCCUUACGGGGAAAGAGUCAUCGCCAAAAGAUCGGCCCGCGUCUGAUUAGCUAGUGGGUGGGGUAAUGGCCCGCCAAGGCUAAGGUCAAUAGCUGGUCUGAGAGGAUGAUCAGCAACACUGGGACUGAGACACGGGACAAACUCGUACGGGAGGGGGCAGUGUCGAAUAUUGGACCAGUGCGGCAGCCCUGAUCCAGCCGGGACGCGUAAGUAAUGAAGGCCUAGGGGUUGUAAAGCUCUUUUAGCAGGGCAGAUAAUGACGGUACCUGCAGAAAAAGCCCCGGCUAACUUCGUGCCAGCAGCCGCCGUAA
rnacentral:rRNA from 1 species